AGUGGAAUUGCUGGGUCAUAUGGUAACUCUGUGUUUAACUUUUUGAGGAAUCACCAAACUGUUUUCCACAGUUGCUGCACCAUUUUACAUUCCCACCAGCAGU
rnacentral:pre_miRNA from 1 species